GACUUAAAAUAAUAGUAAUGUUCACAGAGUUCCUUGACUUCUAUCCUACUUUUUACACAACAAAUAAACAUCAUGGGAUUGCAUUGCAUGUGAUCUCAAUUCAAAGGCUUUCAAGACCCUGAAACAAAAGAUGCUUCAUCAACUUCUGCUUUUGUUGCUGGGACUUGGAAUCAGAUGAUCUGCAUCAGUAAUUUCUCAGAUAAAAGCUCUCUGAUCAGAGAUUCCUGCAGUAUUCAUUCAACCUUAUCUUGGUUUAAGAGCUGUUCCACUUUAUCUGAAGUGGGGGUGGUGGUGUUGGUUUUGGUAGCAGCAGGAGAAGCACCUGAAGAAGCUGAAGCAACUGGGACAGGGGAACAUGGUGAUGAGGCUUGCUUCAUCUAGAGCCUAUUGGAUCGAAGAAUACACCAUCUUUGAAGGAUGGGAUGCUUAUUGUUGCUUUGAGUACUAGUGUUGAUUGUGAAUGAUGCUGGUGAGUUAUGGUGAUAUUGGCUAGACGGCUCAAUCUGUUAGCUUUAGUGAUCAUAGAAUUUCUAUGACUUAUUAUUUUUUAUUUCCUUUUUGUUAUUUUGUGUUUUGGUUGAUUGAUUUGACCAAUGUUGAUAUGCAAGGAGUGGAUAUUUCAAAGCAAAUAAUAUUGAUUUAGAAUUAGUAAUUUUAUUUUUUUUAUUAUGGUUACUGUGAAUUUGUAUCUUUCUUUCUGCAUCUUGAUGGAAAGGGAGGAAGAAGAGGUUUGUUUUGUUUGUUUGUUUGUUGAAUUGAAUUGAUGAUGUUCAUGUUCAUGUAUGGGUUUCUUGUACAAAGGAAAUUGCAGUAAAUGAAUGUGGAUGCAGGCAAUCGUGUAGGAUUGGAUUUGGCCA